AAACAUCAGCUGUGUUUACAUCCAAUUCACAAGCCUUUUCAACCCAGUGUCAGGCAGCUAAGCACACACUGGACCAUCUUACGCCACCUAUCUCUCCUAUCACAAUGGAACUGUUUGUCUUUGAUGGAAAUCACUCGUCUCCUGGGACCUUUUGAACUGACCUAACCUGUUGUAUUAGUUCAUUCUCACACUGCUGUAAAGAACUACCUGAGAUUGGGUAAUUCAUCAAGAAAGGAGGUGUAAUUGACUCACAGUUGCGCAUGGAUCGGGAGGCCUCAGGAAACUUUCAAUCUUGGCGGAAGUUGAAGAGGAAGCAAGGCCUGUUUUCCAUGGUGGCAGGAGACAGAGUGGAUGGGGGAGACUUCCACGAACUUUUAAACCACCAAAUCUUGUGAGAACUCAUGCACUAUCAUGAGACCACCAUGCAGGAAACUGCCCCCAUGAUCCAAUCGCCUCCCACAAGUCCCCUCCCCUGACACAUGCCACUUUCAGGCUGCUGAUAAAGACAUAUCCGAG
rnacentral:lncRNA from 10 species